GCAUAUCAAUAAGCGGAGGAAAAGAAACCAACAGGGAUUGCCCCAGUAACGGCGAGUGAAGCGGCAAGAGCUCAAAUUUGAAAGCUGGCUCCUUCGGGGUCCGCAUUGUAAUUUGUAGAGGAUGCUUCGGGAGCGGUCCCCAUCUAAGUGCCCUGGAACGGGACGUCAUAGAGGGUGAGAAUCCCGUAUGGGAUGGGGUGUCCGCGCCCGUGUGAAGCUCCUUCGACGAGUCGAGUUGUUUGGGAAUGCAGCUCUAAAUGGGUGGUAAAUUUCAUCUAAAGCUAAAUAUUGGCCGGAGACCGAUAGCGCACAAGUAGAGUGAUCGAAAGAUGAAAAGCACUUUGAAAAGAGAGUUAAAAAGCACGUGAAAUUGUUGAAAGGGAAGCGCUUGCGACCAGACUCGCUCGCGGGGUUCAGCCGGCAUUCGUGCCGGUGUACUUCCCCGCGGGCGGGCCAGCGUCGGUUUGGGCGGUCGGUCAAAGGCCCUCGGAAGGUAACGCCCCUAGGGGCGUCUUAUAGCCGAGGGUGCAAUGCGACCUGCCUAGACCGAGGAACGCGCUUCGGCUCGGACGCUGGCAUAAUGGUCGUAAACGACCCGUCUUG
rnacentral:rRNA from 1 species